UGUUUUGCAGAAAAUGCAUGCUAUAAUAAUAAUUGUGGACAGUGGAAUUGGAUGCCAGUAGGGCUCACACUACACUUGUUUUAUUAUUAUUAAAACUUGUGUUUUGCAAUGUUAUAUCUUGUAUGAUGUGAUGAUGCAACAUUACAUUUUUUUUUUUCUUGUCUAACCUUAAAACUAUUGAAUUCUGAAGGGGUACGUUCAAUCUCAUGUGGUUAUCACACUGUCAAUUAAUGCACUUUCUGUGGAAUGCUCACAUACAUAUUUUACAAACUUUAAAUGACUGAGCAACUAAUCGUAAUGUGGAGAUAUGAAACAUUAGGAAAAUAAAGAUUUUUAAACCAAUAAUGAUAAGACGACAGAGUGCUUCAAACAGAAAAUACAUUUGUGAUUUUAAUGUAUACAUGCAGAUACUUUGCACAGUCUAUGAUAAUGAUAAUAAGAUAGCCCGGGAUUGAUUAACCAUUAAGCAAAAAAAGCACAUGCUUAUGGCGCCUCCUUUUGUAAAAAUAGAGUUUUUAUAAAAGGAAGAGAAAACUUUAUUAGGGUGGCACAAUUAAAAGUAUAGUAUAUUAGAAUUCCCAGCAAGCCGCCUUGCGGUGCUGACUGUGAGUUUCCGGUAAAUGCACGAUUAUACUAAUUGGAUAUUUGAAAGCUACAGUGUAUGGUUUGUGUUUAAAAAAAUAAA